rnacentral:rRNA from 1 species
GAUGAACGCUAGCGGCAGGCUUAAUACAUGCAAGUCGAGGGGCAGCGGAGUAGCAAUACUGCCGGCGACCGGCGCACGGGUGCGUAACACGUGUACAACCUACCUUAAACAGGGGGAUAACCUUUCGAAAGAGAGACUAAUACCCCGUAACAUCAUGAUAGGCAUCUAUUGUGGUUGAAAGUUCCGACGGUUUAAGACGGGUACGCGUAUGAUUAGCUAGUUGGUAGUGUAACGGACUACCAAGGCGACGAUCAUUAGGGGAUCUGAGAGGACUACCCCCCACACUGGUACUGAGACACGGACCAGACUCCUACGGGAGGCAGCAGUAAGGAAUAUUGGUCAAUGGAGGCAACUCUGAACCAGCCAUGCCGCGUGCAGGAUGACGGCCCUAUGGGUUGUAAACUGCUUUUGUACAAGAGAAAACCCCAGUACGUGUACUGGGUUGAUAGUAUUGUAAGAAUAAGCAUCGGCUAACUUCGUG